rnacentral:rRNA from 1 species
AAUAUUGGACAAUGGGCGCAAGCCUGAUCCAGCCAUGCCGCGUGAGUGAUGAAGGCCCUAGGGUUGUAAAGCACUUUUGUCAGGGAAGAAAAGGUUCUGGCUAAUACCCGGAACUGAUGACGGUACCUGAAGAAUAAGCACCGGCUAACUACGUGCCAGCAGCCGCGGUAAUACGUAGGGUGCAAGCGUUAAUCGGAAUUACUGGGCGUAAACGUGUUGAAGCCGUUCGGAAAAAAAAGUGUGAAAACCCAGGGGUCAAACUUGGGACCGCAUUUUUAACUGCCCAGGUAGAGUAAGUCCAGGGGGGGUAAGAUUCCACGGGUAGCAGUGAAAUGCGUAAAUAUGUUGAGGAAUACCGAUGGCGAAGGCAGCCCCCUGGGAUAAUACUGACGCUCAGACACGAAAGCGUGGGGAGCAAACAGG